GCAGCCAUUUGCACUAGGAAUGCAAUUUGUUUUAUUACGAACUCUUGCUUACAUUCCUACUCCAAUUUAUUUUGGGGCUGUUAUUGACACCACAUGCAUGCUUUGGCAACAGGAUUGUGGCGUGCAAGGAUCUUGUUGGGAAUACGACGUAACUUCAUUUCGCUUUGUUUACUUUGGACUGGCAGCUGGUCUCAAAUUCGUGGGAUUUUUUUUUAUUUUUCUGGCCUGGUAUUCCAUUAAAUAUAAAGAAGAUCAGCUGCAGAGGCAAAGAUGUAGGGCCUCACCUGUAAACACUGUGAGUGAGAUGGUUGGCAAUGCUGGACGUCAACAAAACCAUGCACGGACUAGAUCCUGUCCCACUUUCAGUGCUCGAGGGGAGCACACUGAAGAUAUCUGUCUGGCACGUGGAAUGAAUUACAUAGCACAGACAUAUCCUGGCCCCUUUUCAGAAGCAAUAAAUUCCUCAUCUGAAAAUGCAUUGGAAGAAGUCACUGCUGAGAUAUAGGCUUGAAAAAUGUAAAAUUCAGUUUUGUUGGUUGAUUUAAAUAUGGCGCCUUGUAAAACACCCGUGCCUUCUUUUUUAUUCUACAUGUCACAUGAUAAACCAACAACACUUAAAGCAAGUAUCAAUAGCAUACUUGAGGGCUGGAUACCUCAAAAUGACCCAACUGCUUAUUUCUCUCCUCCAGAUAAUGGAGUUUUAACAUAUGUGUUUGUAAUUAAGUCAGGUGUGUCCAUUAAAUGUCCAUGCUCUGAUCGAGUGUCAAAAUAAGGACGAUGUAUUCUAAAUGGUGGAAAUCAAUGGAAGGGUUACAGACAUGAAUAUCAUUGAUGUCAAGAUUUUAAGAAAAUGUUGAACGGGAUCAUCAAUUUUGCAUCCACAAAUCAUAGUACUUAGUUCUCAGUGAUUACUUUGAGUUCUGCUACAAAGCACAAUGGAAUGUGUCUAACCUAUGCAACUUCUAUGGAUAAUUGUUUAUUGAUAUGGCAUGUUAAUUUUGCUUUCAGGGUCUUUAACCAACUGAACUUGAAUGGGGCUGUUUUAAGACAAAUAAGAUUUUUAAAUGGACAUCAUUGCUUAAAGUACUGUUGAUAACAUGCUAAGCCAUAGGAAAGUGAUAUAGCUGGUAAAGUUUUCAAAUUCUAAGACACCAUUUCCUUAUCUUAUUACAAUGUACAUGUAUUAUAAUUUGAUAGGCUGUAGGAUUAUUCAAUGUAGAAAACAGGCUACAAAAGUUUGACUUGGUGUGAAAAACUACAGUAUUAAUUUGUAAUAACAUUAAGAUAUGAAUAU